UACGUAGGGGGCAAGCGUUGUCCGGAAUCAUUGGGCGUAAAGCGCGUGUAGGCGGCUCGGUAAGUCUGCUGUGAAAGUCCAGGGCUCAACCCUGGAAGGCCGGUGGAAACUGUCGAGCUAGAGUCCGGAAGAGGCGAGUGGAAUUCCUGGUGUAGCGGUGAAAUGCGCAGAUAUCAGGAGGAACACCAAUGGCGAAGGCAGCUCGCUGGGACGGUACUGACGCUGAGACGCGAAAGCGUGGGGAGCAAACAGG
rnacentral:rRNA from 1 species